UACAGAGGGGGCAAGCGUUGUUCGGAAUUACUGGGCGUAAAGGGCGCGUAGGCGGCCUGCUAAGUCGAACGUGAAAUCCCCGGGCUCAACCCGGGAACUGCGUCCGAUACUGGUUGGCUUGAAUCCGGGAGAGGGAUGCGGAAUUCCAGGUGUAGCGGUGAAAUGCGUAGAUAUCCGGAGGAACACCGGUGGCGAAGGCGGCUUCCUGGACCGAUCACUGACGCUGAGGCGCGAAAGCUAGGGGAGCAAACGGG
rnacentral:rRNA from 1 species